rnacentral:rRNA from 1 species
GAUGAACGCUGGCGGCGUGCCUAAUACAUGCAAGUCGAGCGAACGGACGAGAAGCUUGCUUCUCUGAUGUUAGCGGCGGACGGGUGAGUAACACGUGGAUAACCUACCUAUAAGACUGGGAUAACUUCGGGAAACCGGAGCUAAUACCGGAUAAUAUUUUGAACCGCAUGGUUCAAAAGUGAAAGACGGUCUUGCUGUCACUUAUAGAUGGAUCCGCGCUGCAUUAGCUAGUUGGUAAGGUAACGGCUUACCAAGGCAACGAUGCAUAGCCGACCUGAGAGGGUGAUCGGCCAGCCGGGAACUGAGACACGGCCCAGACUCCUACGGGAGGACGCAGUAGGGAAUCUUACGCAAGGGGCGAAAGCCUGACGGAGCAACGCCGCGUGAGUGAUGAAGGUCUUCGGAUCGUAAAACUCUGUUAUUAGGGAAGAACAUAUGUGUAAGUAACUGUGCACAUCUUGACGGUACCUAAUCAGAAAGCCACGGCUAACUACGUG